rnacentral:rRNA from 1 species
CAGUAGCCACGGGAAAACCAGCACCUCGAGUGGUCAGGAGGUUUAUUGGGCCUAAAGCAUCCGUAGCCGGUUGCAUAAGUUUUCGGUUAAAUCUAUGCGCUUAACGUAUAGGCCGCCGAAAAUACUGUGCAGCUAGGGAGUGGGAGAGGUACACGGUACUCGAUAGGAAGGGGUAAAAUCCUUUGAUCUAUUGAUGACCACCUGUGGCGAAGGCGGUGUACCAGAACACGUUCGACGGUGAGGGAUGAAAGCUGGGGGAGCAAACCGGAUUAGAUACCCCAGUAGUCCCUGUCUCUUAUAC